rnacentral:tRNA from 1 species
UAAAAAUUAGUUUAUAAUAAAAUACUAAUUUGUCAAAUUAGAGAAUUUAAAAAUAAAAUUUUUUU